UACGGAGGGGGCUAGCGUUGUUCGGAAUUACUGGGCGUAAAGCGCACGUAGGCGGCUUUGCAAGUCAGAGGUGAAAGCCCGGGGCUCAACCCCGGAAUAGCCUUUGAGACUGCAUCGCUAGAAUUGUGGAGAGGUAAGUGGAAUUCCGAGUGUAGAGGUGAAAUUCGUAGAUAUUCGGAAGAACACCUAUGGCGAAAGCAGGCAUCUGGGCCAUCACUGACGCUGAGCUGCGAAAGCUAGGGGAGCAAACAGG
rnacentral:rRNA from 1 species